CGCUUGCCCGCCCUUCUUCAUGUCAUAUCUGCCCCUAACUCUUCUCUUUGAGAACACCUAAGCAGCGCUCUCCAGCCAACAGUCAACAAUCAUCAGAAAGCAUUCCAAUAGGCUAAGCUCGUGCAACUACUCUGUCAAAUACCGAAGGGGUGGAAAUGCCCCUAGCAAUGAAGGGGGGGGGGGAAGGAGUGGAGACAGGAAGGAGGAGGCGUAUUGCCCGGAGUACUAGCAGCAGCAGUUCUCCUACGGCUAUUCGGAGGUCCCGUGUUUUGGCUUCGCAGCCAAAGGCCUCCCGGAAACAAACUCCCCUGGAUAAAUGUUGCCGAUUCCAUCACCAUCACUACUCGCAAGUCGGGCCCGGGGUGGGGAAUGCAGGGGAAAUAGGGGUUGGUUGUGAUUUGCAACAAAAGCAUUAGAUCUACUUGUGAAGAGUAUUCCUGUCAAGCAAAAGGAGCUGAGGAAAUAAUAAUGUACUCACCAAUAUCUGAUGGAUGGAGACCUUUGUGGAAGCUAUCCUGAGCAAGCAAAAAAUGCAGCCUUGAAAAUUUUUCUUUGGAUCUAGGAGACAGCCCAAAUAUUUCGGAGCCAGACAAUGGACACUUGACCAGACAGUGAUGGGCAUUGUGGAGGGAGAGGAAAGAGUUUAAAUGAACAGAAGUGGCUUCCUUCAAUGGAGGAUGAUUAAUUCCAUUGGAGCAAAGGGACCUCUUCGGAUCUAACUAUAUGCAAAUUAAAAUGUUGUUAUUCUCUAAUCUUGUAGAUAAAUAUUUCACACAUACAUACACACAUAUGCAUAUAAAGACAUUUUUUAAAACCUGCCACAUCUCUAAGCUGGAUGACAGAAUAGUGGGAGAAUGUAACACUUAUGUUUAUAUUUAUUAUAUAAAAUAUAUCUAUAUUUAGAUUUUAAAAGCUUUGAAAAUAUUAUUUAGAGAUAUUUUAAGUGCAUUAUCAUCCCCAACCAGUUGCCUUUUGUGCAUCUGGAACAGUACAUCUGAGUUUGAAAACCAGCCUGUUUCAUCACAUGAAUUGCAUUUGCUGGGUGUAGGCUGUAUGAUUAAUGGAAUGUAGGCCUCUAUUGGUGAAGAAGGAGAAAAAUACUUCUGGGAAAUAAAUACUUUGUAUACAGUACUUACAAGGCCCUGAGAGGGGGAAAUUAAAGUAUUCCUUUCCCAAAUUGGAUUUUCUACCCAUUAAUGUGUUUUAGAUUUGUCUCACAAUGGACUUUGAUCUUGCUAUUUCCUUAUAAAACAUGUAAUGUAAUGAACAACACUGGUUUUGAAAUAUAUACAAAUUCUGAGUUAACUUCCCACCCAUUAAAUUAAAAUGAUCUAGCCAUUAAUACAUUUGUUUUAAACCAGUCCACAAGACACCAAUGGAUAUUGUGAGGAAUUUUUGAAAAGCCCACAUUUGCAAGUGACAUUUAAAUUGGUUUUUGCUUUCCUGACUUUAAAGUAAGUUAAAAACUGUACUUUGACUAGAACUUACGUUCAAUUUAAAACUAGCUCUCUUCAGCUUUAAAAAUCCCCCAUGUUUUCACUCAUGAAAUCAUCCUGACUUAAAAGACUUGAAGACUUUCAUAUGCGCUAAUAAAGAUUAAUACAUUAAUAGAAAUUAAAAAUAAAUGUGGCUUUAGAGGAAGCUUUUUAGUAUUCUUUUUCUCAAUUAAGCCCACCUUUCUUAUUAAGUUCUAGUGUAUAAAGUCACAAAUUCCCCUCACUCUUCAAGUUAACUUAGAGUCAAGAAAACGGAUUCUGAGGUAAUUUAUGUUGAAACUGAACAGUUACACAUUUUAAAGUGCCCUCAAUAGGUUCAGUUACAUACAAGAAUUUGGGCGGGUCUUCACUGAUUCCCUGGAACUCAUUUUCUGUGGUAAUUUGUUGUUGCUUUUUAGCAGAAUGAUUAAAUAAGCCUAGACCAUUUUGUAGGCCAAGUGAAGAGGUAAAAUGUUUGCCAGUUGGAUUGUAGAAGGCUAUUCUGGCGUUUUUAAAAAAAUAUAGAGUAAGUCACAAAUUCAGAAAACACUGAUGUGAAUCUAAACUUCUGUAAAUUAGACUCUAAGGCAGGCAGGGGUGGGCAAAAGGUAAAGCAGAUCAGGAUCUACUGGUAGAUUUUGGGGUGAUUUGUAGUAGACUGGGACAAAUUUUGUUACUCCCAGCGAAAACAACCCCCCUUCCCCCACUGCAAGCUGCUGAAACAAAGAAAGCCUGAGGGGAAAUCGAGUGCUGAUUUUUGCGUGAAAUGACUGAACUCCCGUUCAGGUACUGAAAACAAAUUUAUAAGUUUAGCAUGAUGCGCUGGCACCCCAUUCCUUAACUCUACGUGCAUGUCCCCUCCCCUGAGCCAAGCCACUAUUUUGCAACAGAUUUUGGUUGGUGAAUCUAGAAGGUUUAGUACAAAACCAGAAUAGAUCCGGCACAAGCCUUAAGAUGUGACCCACUCGUAAAAUAAUACAGUCAGGCAAGAGAAGUGCUUUCUCCUUACAGUAGUAAGGGGGCGAGCUGGCUCUUUGUUGGGGCUCUUGCUUCCCUCCUGAAAUAGAACAAGGAAGGAAAAUCAACGCUUUUUAAAACUUUAACUUCAUUGGGUUUUUCUCCCAACAAUGUUAAAAUACAAUAAAUUGAAUCCUAAAUAACAGGAAUAAACACGUAGUGCUUAAUAUGCAAGAGACAGUGAAACAAUCCUAUCAGUGAACUACUUUAUACUUGUCUGGUGGGGUAGCACUUGAACAUUAUUGCAGGUCAUCAUUAAUGGGUGCCAGGUGGCAGAAAAGGAAUUCAUGCCAUGUUUUGCCACUUUUUUUUGUCCAUAACCAGGUGGUCCCAUAUUGCUCUGUACCAAGAUACCCCUACUGGAGAUGUUUGACCUUUCCAAUGUGUGACCAUUUCUGUUCUGGCAUCAGACAGGAGAUGAUAACUGAAGCGACUUUGCUUGGUCUCCUCUAGAAAGAUGCACAGUAACAUAAAUAUGACAUUUGGAAAGAUCCAUGAAGGACACCAGUGGUGAGAUAUGAGACCCAGCACUAGGCUUUGGUGAGCCUGUGGACAAAGCCCUCUCCAGACCCCCUCAUGGCAAGUGGCACAGUGACCCCACCCACCCCCAGUCCAUGCCUCACUGGGCAAUGGAACAGGUAUGUUUACAGUGUAGCAAGCCCCUUCAGCGCUAGAGUGGUGGUGCCACUUUAGAAUUCCCCAUAUGCUUAUCUAGAGCCCAAUUCCCAUUUGGCACGUAGCAGCUGCAGCUCAUUCUGCAGUGCUGCCACAAGUGGAAGUGCCAUUUUAGAAAUUAGUGUGCUGUGCUACCUAAAGCAUGCUUGUGCAAAGGCACACAACUGCGGCACCUCUCCUUUGUUUUAAAUUGAACUGUUGUGCAAUUGCACAAAUCCUUGGGGUUCUUUCUAGCACAAUUAUGCAAUCUUCUCAUGCUUUGCUUGUUACAGGUCAGCCAUUAAAAUUGCAUUUGUUUAAGCCAGCUUCUAAAAUUUUGCAACACCCCAUGGAACUGCAUGCUUUGAGAGAUUUUGUUGGGAAAUGAAACAUAAUAAAUAAAUGAUAUAUAAAGUAGCUCUCUCUCUGUGACAAUUUGUUGACCAAUUACUCACUUGG